rnacentral:tRNA from 1 species
AGGGCUAAAGUAUAAGGUUUGUAUAGCUUGCUUACACCAAGCAGGUUCCUGUGGCGGGAUGGCCUUA